UUAAAUCUACGCUAAUUUUAAUAUCAAACUUCAUUAAGAACUUACCAAUUAAUCCAACCUAGAACGAAACUCAACCACGAAUGAAAUAAACGUCAGUGGUGUGAAAACUUUUCUGCGUUUCCCAUAACAACAAACAAUCGGUGUGACCCUCGAUCGAUUUUCGACUUUGACAGUUCAGCCCAACGAGUGAAAGUCGUUCACAAAUUGGGCUAAGAGCUUAGUGCAACGAGUGAAAUUCGACUGUAUAAACAUACAGUGGACUGUGGAAAGGGAUUUGACUGCAAAGCGGGGGAAAAAUAUUGCUGUCAAGUUUGGCUCUGAUGAACAUUCCACGAACGAGAAUAUUUCUGGAUUAUAAAAAUCAUUUAACAUCAAUUAACAUCGAAUAACAUUACAAUUGUUUGUUAUCAAAACAUUUGAAUUGUGCCAAGAAAUAAGGAUAGUUUAUUUGGACAGAGGAAUCACCUGUGAGGAAUUUCGAGAUGGCUAAUUUCUGUGCCGUUAAGGGCUGCGAAAUAACUCGUUCUCGAUACAAAAAUAAAGCUGAAUGUAUUACCGUGCAUAGAUUUCCCAAAAGAGAGGAUCUGCUCUUGAAAUGGAUCGCUUAUUGUGUUGUUGUCCUCUUGGAAACCUCUAGGUAACCAAGGAAUUUGUUCGAAACAUUUCGAUUCCUCUUGCUAUAAAAGGAAUGAAGAGUGCGAAAAUGUCUCAUACUCGGUUGAGCGGCGUCGAAGAAUCAAUGCUGAUGCAUUACCAGGGAAUCCUGAACACUGGACUCAAUUGGGAGAAGUUGAAAAUCAACCCGCCGACAGCGCAAGAAGUAGUAGUGAUGAAAUAGAAAAUGUCGAGAUAUCUUGUGAGUUUUUCUUCUUCAUUUCGUUACACAAAUAUGUUGUUCAUAUGUUUUAUGUUGUA